UACGAAGGGGGCUAGCGUUGCUCGGAAUUACUGGGCGUAAAGCGCACGUAGGCGGCUUUCUAAGUCGGGGGUGAAAUCCUGGAGCUCAACUCCAGAACUGCCUUCGAUACUGGAGAGCUUGAGUCGGGAGAGGUGAGUGGAACUGCGAGUGUAGAGGUGAAAUUCGUAGAUAUUCGCAAGAACACCUAGUGGCGAAGGCGG
rnacentral:rRNA from 1 species